UGGGGAAUUUUGGACGAAUUGGGCGAAAGCCUGAUCCAGCAAUGCCGCGUGUGUGAAGAAGGCCUUCGGGUUGUAAAGCACUUUUGUCCGGAAAGAAAUCCUUGGCUCUAAUACAGUCGGGGGAUGACGGUACCGGAAGAAUAAGCACCGGCUAACUACGUGCCAGCAGCCGCGGUAAUACGUAGGGUGCAAGCGUUAAUCGGAAUUACUGGGCGUAAAGCGUGCGCAGGCGGUUUGCUAAGACCGAUGUGAAAUCCCCGGGCUCAACCUGGGAACUGCAUUGGUGACUGGCAGGCUAGAGUAUGGCAGAGGGGGGUAGAAUUCCACGUGUAGCAGUGAAAUGCGUAGAGAUGUGGAGGAAUACCGAUGGCGAAGGCAGCCCCCUGGGCAAGUACUGACGCUCAUGCACG
rnacentral:rRNA from 1 species